AAUCCAUAGGUUAAUGAGGCGAACCGGGGGAACUGAAACAUCUAAGUACCCCGAGGAAAAGAAAUCAACCGAGAUUCCCCCAGUAGCGGCGAGCGAACGGGGAGGAGCCCAGAGCCUGAAUCAGCAUGUGUGUUAGUGGAAGCGUCUGGAAAGGCGCGCGAUACAGGGUGACAGCCCCGUACACAAAAGCGCAUGUGCUGUGAGCUCGAUGAGUAGGGCGGGACACGUGGUAUCCUGUCUGAAUAUGGGGGGACCAUCCUCCAAGGCUAAAUACUCCUGACUGACCGAUAGUGAACCAGUACCGUGAGGGAAAGGCGAAAAGAACCCCGGCGAGGGGAGUGAAAAAGAACCUGAAACCGUGUACGUACAAGCAGUGGGAGCACAGGUUUACCUGUGUGACUGCGUACCUUUUGUAUAAUGGGUCAGCGACUUAUAUUCUGUAGCAAGGUUAACCGAAUAGGGGAGCCGGAGGGAAACCGAGUCUUAAUUGGGCGUUAAGUUGCAGGGUAUAGACCCGAAACCCGGUGAUCUAGCCAUGGGCAGGUUGAAGGUUGGGUAACACUAACUGGAGGACCGAACCGACUAAUGUUGAAAAAUUAGCGGAUGACCUGUGGCUGGGGGUGAAAGGCCAAUCAAACCGGGAGAUAGCUGGUUCUCCCCGAAAGCUAUUUAGGUAGCGCCUCGUGAAUUCAUCUCCGGGGGUAGAGCACUGUUUCGGCUAGGGGGCCAUCCCGGCUUACCAACCCGAUGCAAACUGCGAAUACCGGAGAAUGUUAUCACGGGAGACACACGGCGGGUGCUAACGUCCGUCGUGAAGAGGGAAACAACCCAGACCGCCAGCUAAGGUCCCAAAGUCAUGGUUAAGUGGGAAACGAUGUGGGAAGGCCCAGACAGCCAGGAUGUUGGCUUAGAAGCAGCCAUCAUUUAAAGAAAGCGUAAUAGCUCACUGGUCGAGUCGGCCUGCGCGGAAGAUGUAACGGGGCUAAACCAUGCACCGAAGCUGCGGCAGCGACACUCAGGUGUUGUUGGGUAGGGGAGCGUUCUGUAAGCCUGUGAAGGUGUGUCGUGAGGCAUGCUGGAGGUAUCAGAAGUGCGAAUGCUGACAUAAGUAACGAUAAAGCGGGUGAAAAGCCCGCUCGCCGGAAGACCAAGGGUUCCUGUCCAACGUUAAUCGGGGCAGGGUGAGUCGACCCCUAAGGCGAGGCCGAAAGGCGUAGUCGAUGGGAAACGGGUUAAUAUUCCCGUACUUGGUGUUACUGCGAAGGGGGGACGGAGAAGGCUAUGUUGGCCGGGCGACGGUUGUCCCGGUUUAAGCGUGUAGGUGUGUGUUCCAGGUAAAUCCGGUUCACUUUAACACUGAGGCGUGAUGACGAGGCACUACGGUGCUGAAGCAACAAAUGCCCUGCUUCCAGGAAAAGCCUCUAAGCAUCAGGUAACAUCAAAUCGUACCCCAAACCGACACAGGUGGUCAGGUAGAGAAUACCAAGGCGCUUGAGAGAACUCGGGUGAAGGAACUAGGCAAAAUGGUGCCGUAACU
rnacentral:rRNA from 1 species